rnacentral:rRNA from 1 species
CCAGACUCCUACGGGAGGCAGCAGUGGGGAAUAUUGCACAAUGGGGGAAACCCUGAUGCAGCGACGCCGCGUGAAGGAAGAAGUAUUUCGGUAUGUAAACUUCUAUCAGCAGGGAAGAAAAUGACGGUACCUGACUAAGAAGCCCCGGCUAACUACGUGCCAGCAGCCGCGGUAAUACGUAGGGGGCAAGCGUUAUCCGGAUUUACUGGGUGUAAAGGGAGCGUAGACGGCAGUGCAAGUCUGGAGUGAAAGGCGGGGGCUCAACCCCCGGACUGCUCUGGAAACUGUACGGCUGGAGUGCAGGAGAGGUAAGUGGAAUUCCUAGUGUAGCGGUGAAAUGCGUAGAUAUUAGGAGGAACACCAGUGGCGAAGGCGGCCUGCUGGGCUUUUACUGACGCUGAGGCUCGAAAGUGUGGGGAGCAAACAGGAUUAGAUACCCGCGUAA